ensembl:lncRNA
UUAAAGUUCACGGUUCUUUAAUAAGAGAAACUUAACAUGAACAAAAUACAAAACGUGGCAAAACCGAAACAGUCCUAUCUGGUGCAGAAAACACAAAGACAGGAAACAAUCACCCACAAAAUACCCAAAGAAUAUGGCUGCCUAAAUAUGGUUCCCAAUCAGAGACAACGAUAAACACCUGCUUCUGAUUGAGAACCACUCUAGGCAACCAUAGACUUACCUAGACAACUAAACUGAACACAACCCCAUAAAUCUAAUAAACCCCUAGACAAGACGAAACACAAUAAAUCACCCAUGUCACACCCUGGCCUAACUAAAAUAAUAAAGAAAACAAAGAUAACUAAGGCCAGGGCGUGACAACUAGGCUAUUUUUUUUGCAAACAAGCUAGCUAGCUACCUAGAUGAUAUUAGCAACAUACGCGUUUAGUUCUGUUGCAGAGUCAAAGCCAGAUAAACUCAUUUCAGAAUGUAUCCAUAAUCAUGAAUGAAUAAGCAUUUAUUUGACAAGAAUGUACCUAGUCACCCAUCAAUCAUGUCAAACACCUGAAAUCCAACAAUUAUUAUUUUAAACAAAUCAAAGUAGGUAACAAUGCAUACAUAUGCCUUUUAUCAGUGCAUGAUUAGGCAGGAGCUCAACGGAGCUGAUUACCGGCACCUCACAUUGUCUUCUGUUUGAGCUGCUGUUCCUCUUAGAAUAUUAGCUCAAUAGUAUUCUGGAGCUCCUGCACCUAAAUACUGUAUAAACAGUACAGGCACCUAUUACAGGCCAUGUCAAUCACUGCCUUUUAUACAUGGAAACAUCUGACUUGAAGUAAAGAUUACGUUAUUUAUUCAUCAAUGCCACAAAUCUUGGACAUUAAAGAGGCAUGCACCAUAUUAGCUAUUAUUUAUCAGAGAGAGCACCGAUUCUUUAGCUUUUCCAUUUUAGAAAUUAGGCCAGCUCAAAUAACACAAAAUGUAAAACCAGCAUUUUGUGAUUUGUUGUGGGUGAGUUAUUAAUGGAGAAAGAACUUGAUGCUUAAGGCAUGUUUAAUAUAAAACAUUAGGUAAACUCCAGCAGAAUAAGAAACACUUACAGACUCAAAACAAGGAAGCCGUGCCUAAACGCAUCUAUAUCAACACCCUUCUUAUCAAUUUAACAGGUCCAUGUUGCUGGUGUCAAUUGUGAGUAGCAAAAACAAGUAGCCUAACCUUUUAUUGCAAUUGAAAUGAGUUUGUACGAGUUAAGUUAGAUUACAUUGCUUCCUCAAUCGUUAUUUUAAAUAAUUUCAAUGACAUCAAAACAAUUGCUAGCUAGCUAACUAAAUUUAGCUAGCUACUUUAGCAGGCUCAGCUAAAUAAAAGUCCCGCUAGAAACAGCCACGUCUAAUAGUCACGUCAUGAGAUUUGUAAAUGAAUGAUCAUACGAAUCGCUGCCCUGUAUAAUGGUCAAUGUUAUUGCAUUGCUGGGCUUUUUGAAACUUAAUGUAUUUGUAUUGUAUAAAAAAAUAUAUACAAAUAAAAGGAAAUAUAUGGUUUAAACUUGUCUUAAAUUUAUUUGUUUUAGCUGUUAGUGAUAAUUCCCUAAGUGUUAAUACAUGUGUGUUUACAUCAUUAAGCCUUUAGGUAUGCGUUAUGAUUAUGAUCAAAUGUGUCUGACUUUAUAGUAAGAACAGCGUCAUAUGAUACAAGGCAUCUAUGUGUGUUUAGAAAUGAUCAAAUGUGUCUGACUUUAUAGUAAGAACAGCGUCAUAUGAUACAAGGCAUCUAUGUGUGUUUAGAAAUGACCAAAUGUGUCUGACUUUAUAGUAAGAACAGCGUCAUAUGAUACAAGGCAUUUAUGUGUGUUUAGAAAUGACCAAAUGUGUCUGACUUUAUAGUAAGUACAGCGUCAUAUGAUACAAGGCAUCUAUGUGUGUUUAGAAAUGACCAAAUGUGUCUGACUUUAUAGUAAGAACAGCGUCAUAUGAUACAAGGCAUUUAUGUGUGUUUAGAAAUGACCAAAUGUGUCUGACUUUAUAGUAAGAACAGCGUCAUGUGAUACAAGGCAUCUAUGUGUGUUUAGAAAUGACCAAAUGUGUCUGACUUUAUAGUAAGAACAGCGUCAUGUGAUACAAGGCAUCUAUGUGUGUUUAGAAAUGACCAAAUGUGUCUGACUUUAUAGUAAGAACAGCGUCAUAUGAUACAAGGCAUCUAUGUGUGUUUAGAAAUGACCAAAUGUGUCUGACUUUAUAGUAAGUACAGCGUCAUAUGAUACAAGGCAUUUAUGUGUGUUUAGAAAUGACCAAAUGUGUCUGACUUUAUAGUAAGUACAGCGUCAUAUGAUACAAGGCAUCUAUGUGUGUUUAGAAAUGACCAAAUGUGUCUGACUUUAUAGUAAGUACAGCGUCAUAUGAUACAAGGCAUCUAUGUGUGUUUAGAAAUGACCAAAUGUGUCUGACUUUAUAGUAAGAACAGCGUCAUAUGAUACAAGGCAUCUAUGUGUGUUUAGAAAUGAUCAAAUGUGUCUGACUUUAUAGUAAGAACAGCGUCAUAUGAUACAAGGCAUCUAUGUGUGUUUAGAAAUGACCAAAUGUGUCUGACUUUAUAGUAAGUACAGCGUCAUAUGAUACAAGGCAUCUAUGUGUGUUUAGAAAUGACCAAAUGUGUCUGACUUUAUAGUAAGAACAGCGUCAUAUGAUACAAG